rnacentral:tRNA from 1 species
GAGGGUGUAGCUCAAGUGGCAGAGUGCAUGCUUAGCAUGCAUGAGGUCCUGCGUUCAAUCCCCACCUCUUUUA